rnacentral:rRNA from 1 species
GAUGAACGCUGGCGGCGUGCCUAAUACAUGCAAGUCGAGCGAACAGACGAGGAGCUUGCUCCUCUGACGUUAGCGGCGGACGGGUGAGUAACACGUGGAUAACCUACCUAUAAGACUGGGAUAACUUCGGGAAACCGGAGCUAAUACCGGAUAAUAUAUUGAACCGCAUGGUUCAAUAGUGAAAGACGGUUUUGCUGUCACUUAUAGAUGGAUCCGCGCCGCAUUAGCUAGUUGGUAAGGUAACGGCUUACCAAGGCAACGAUGCGUAGCCGACCUGAGAGGGUGAUCAGCCACACUGGAACUGAGACACGGUCCAGACUCCUACGGGAGGCAGCAGUAGGGAAUCUUCCGCAAUGGGCGAAAGCCUGACGGAGCAACGCCGCGUGAGUGAUGAAGGUCUUCGGAUCGUAAAGCUCUGUUAUUAGGGAAGAACAGAUGUGGAAUUAACUAUGCACGUCUUGACGGUACCUAAUCAGAAAGCCACGGCUAACUUCGUG